rnacentral:rRNA from 1 species
AGAGUUUGAUCCUGGCUCAGAAUGAACGUUGGCGGCGUGGAUUAGGCAUGCAAGUCGAACGGGCCGCAAGGCCAGUGGCGCAAGGGUGAGUUAGGCGAUGGCAACCAACCCCGCGAUUGGGCAUAGCCGAGGGAAACUUCGGGUAAUUCCCAGCGAUGUUCAGGACAGGCAUCUGUUUUGAACCAAAGGUGCGAUUCCGUCGCGGGACGGGCCAUCGUGGUAUUAGAUUGUUGGCGGGGUAACGGCCCACCAAGUCGUUGAUGCCUACCGGGCGUGUGAGCGUGGCCCGGCACACUGGGACUGAGACACUGCCCAGACUCCUACGGGAGGCUGCAGUCGAGAAUCUUCGGCAAUGGGCGCAAGCCUGACCGAGCGACGCCGCGUGGAGGAUGAAGGCCCUCGGGUUGUAAACUCCUGUCGAGGGGAAUGAAGGGGUCGUGAAGAACGAUCCUUGACCGAACCCUGGAGGAAGCACGGGCUAAGUUCGUGCCAGCAGCCGCGGUAAGACGAACCGUGCGAACGUUAUUCGGAAUCACUGGGCUUAAAGCGCGUGUAGGCGGAUCGGCGCGUCGUUCGUUGAAAGCCCCCGGCUCAACCGGGGAAUCGGCGGCGAUACGGCCGGUCUUGAGGAGCGCAGGGGAACCUGGAACUUCCGGUGGAGCGGUGAUAUGCGUUGAGAUCGGAAGGAACGCCCGUGGCGAAAGCGAGGUUCUGGACGCUUGCUGACGCUGAGACGCGAAAGCUAGGGGAGCAAACGGGAUUAGAUACCCCGGUAGUCCUAGCUGUAAACG